rnacentral:rRNA from 1 species
UGCCAGCAGCCGCGGUAAUACGGAGGGUGCAAGCGUUGUUCGGAAUUAUUGGGCGUAAAGCGCGUGUAGGCGGUUCGUUAAGUCUGAUGUGAAAGCCCGGGGCUCAACCCCGGAAGUGCAUUGGAAACUGGCGAACUUGAGUACGGGAGAGGAAAGUGGAAUUCCGAGUGUAGGGGUGAAAUCCGUAGAUAUUCGGAGGAACACCAGUGGCGAAGGCGACUUCCUGGCUCGUAACUGACGCUGAGACGCGAAAGCGUGGGGAGCAAACAGGAUUAGAUA